UACGUAGGGUGCGAGCGUUAAUCGGAAUUACUGGGCGUAAAGCGUGCGCAGGCGGUUCGUUAUGUCUGGGGUGAAAGCCCCGGGCUUAACCUGGGAAUUGCAUUGGAAACUAGCGGGCUGGAGUGUGGCAGAGGGGGGUGGAAUUCCACGUGUAGCAGUGAAAUGCGUAGAGAUGUGGAGGAACACCGAUGGCGAAGGCAGCCCCCUGGACUAACACUGACGCUCAUGCACGAAAGCGUGGGGAGCAAACAGG
rnacentral:rRNA from 1 species